rnacentral:tRNA from 1 species
GCCGCCAUAGCUCAGUGGCAGAGCACUAGUCUCGUAAACUAGGGGCCGAGAGUUCGAUUCUCUCUGGCGGCA